rnacentral:rRNA from 1 species
UACGCAGGCAGCAAGCGUUGUUCGGAAUUACUGGGCGUAAAGCGUGCGCAGGCGGUUUUGUAAGCCAGAUGUGAAAUCCCCGGGCUCAACCUGGGAAUGGCAUUUGGGACUGCAAGGCUGGAGUGCGGCAGAGGAGACUGGAAUUCCUGGUGUAGCAGUGAAAUGCGUAGAUAUCAGGAGGAAUACCGAUGGCGAAGGCAGGUCUCUGGGCUGACACUGACGCUCAUGCACGAAAGCGUGGGGAGCAAACAGG